rnacentral:tRNA from 1 species
GCCCGGAUGGUGAAAUCGGCAGACACAGCGGACUUAAAAUCCGCAGACCAUAAACGGUCGUGGGGGUUCAAGUCCCCCUCCGGGCA